UACGUAGGGACCAAGCGUUGUUCGGAUUUACUGGGCGUAAAGGGCGCGUAGGCGGCGUGGUAAGUCACUUGUGAAAUCUCUGAGCUUAACUCAGAACGGCCAAGUGAUACCGCUGUGCUUGAGUGUGGAAGGGGCAAUCGGAAUUCUUGGUGUAGCGGUGAAAUGCGUAGAUAUCAAGAGGAACACCUGAGGUGAAGACGGGUUGCUGGGCCAACACUGACGCUGGGGCGCGAAAGCCAGGGGAGCAAACGGG
rnacentral:rRNA from 1 species